UUACGGCCAUAUCACGUUGAAACACCGGUUCCAGUACGAUCAACGAAGUUAAGCAACAUCGAGCCUGGUCUGUACCUAGAUGGGUGACCGCUUGGGAAUAUCACGUGCU